rnacentral:lncRNA from 1 species
CAGAUAAGCUCUCGGUCCUGGUGGAGAUCAAUGAGAGGGCAUACGAGGCAAGAACUGGUGGUACUCUCGAGGGGGUACCUCCCAGGCGCAGGGGCGAGGGUCAGGAUAAUAUGGGAAAGUGGCAGGAUAACUUUGUCUCGUCACAGGGGCGGCAGGGUGGUGGCAACAGGUUUGGAUACUCCGGCAGAGGUGCAAUAUCUGGUCAAAGUGGUGGUGGACACCAGAGGGACAGGGGCAAUCAGGGUUACCGCGGGGGCUAUGGUGGCGUUUCAAGGUUUCAGGAUGCAAGGGGUCGCAACCAGUCUAUUCCAUCAGGCAGAGGUGGUGAUGGUGGUGCACGCAUGGUGAACCUGAACAGGAUGGGUAGAGUUUAGAAGUGAUAAUUUUCAGCUCGAGUAAGCCUGAAAUUCUCCUAAAAGCCAAGUUUUGAAUCACUGCUUUUUACAUAGUUUCCUGUUCUGGGCUGAGCCAUCCACCUGUUUCCUACAUUUCGUUGUAGCCUUUUAAUUUAAGGGGCUAGGAAAUUGAACUAAGAGUUUGGUACUGUUUCGUGGGAGUGUGACUUCACUCCAAUAUUUGAUAUCUAUCUGUGACACUUGCUAUAACCUGUACUUUUCUUGUUUGUGUUAUGUGGUUUUUAUUUGGUUAUGAAAAAUAAAAAGGCAUGUCGCAGAUAGAAGAUCGUUAUUCUAUUCGCGUUUGAAAAGCUUUACACCAAUCUCGAGAUGAACUUUUAGCAUAACACUUUUCUUGUGGUGUUCAUUUGGAUAAAUUUUCCGCGGUGGUGUCAGCCGUAUCUGUUGUGUGUGGCCGUGUGAAUGAAAUGGGCGGAAGCGUGGACGUGGAGCGGAGCGGAGCGGACGCCUUUUGCUCGUCUUCGGCUUUGAAUUUUCCGGCCGCUCGCCCAGUUUCCACUCGUUCAUCUCACGACUGGACACUUUCUAUCACAGCGCGCGCCGCCGUCGAACGUCACCGGCCGAGUGUUGCACAACGCGAAAUUGCGAGCGUCACCGGCAGAGUGUUUUGAAUGAUCUAGUCUAUUAUUUUUUCAUUAUUUAUUUUUUGUUUGGUUUGUGGAAUAAAAUAAGUUGAUCCGUCACAAUCUUAUUUCUUAUAAUUUAUUAGUUUUAAUAUAAGAAAUUGAGUCAUCCUACUAAAUUUGAGAAAUAUAUUUAUGAUACAACACUUUAUUUUAAAUGGAGUGAUUUCUCAAUCCAAACAUUCACCUACCUAAGCAGAGGAGCAAGCUACACACGGCGAAGUUGGGGGCAAUUGUGUGUUCCUGAUUUUGUCCCUCAAAAUUUGGCUUUGUGAGUUUAGGCCUCUUUUGAAAACGAAAAACAAAAACACGUCCCUGCUUCUGUUAGAUAGCAUUAACAAUAUGAAAUAGAAUAUACAAAGAUAAAUUUACUCUUCAGUCGUAAUUAUGAUUUUGUCCCUCUUUGAAAAUUAACUGUUUGUAAUUGUGAUUUUACCUCUGUUUUUUAAAGGAGUGAGCAAAAUCACAACUACGACUGAAGGGUAAAUUUGUCUUUGUAUAUCCUAUUUCACAUCAUUAUUGUUAUUUAACAGAAGCAAACUAUGGACAUGCUUGUUUUUUGUUUUCAAAAAGAGGCGUGAAAUAUCAAAGUCGAUUUUUGAGGGACAAAAUCACAUUUACUUCUAUCAGGGACAGGAACACAAUUGCCCAAUAAAUUAAUGUCGCUCCACUUGAAUGAAUCACAAACUUUUUUGUACUUUUUCCGAAGGGCAUUGAGAUUGAGAUCUAAAUAAAAACUACAUUGGAUAGUUAUUAAACACCUAUAAUUUCGUGUGAUCCUAAGUUUCAUGCCAACUUUUAACAUGAAGCCUAGGUAAGCGCUAGUACAUCAACUACCCAGAACCAACCAUUUUCAUGUGUUCAUAACUCCCACUUCUACUAUGACACUGUUUGAAUGCAUUAGAGCUAAUAGUUUAGCUAUUAGCUAUUUUUAUUAAAUUAUUUUCUCUAUCCCAUUAUAUAACGCAUAACCACAUUUGGUUCAAAGACAAAAAUGUAUUUAAUUCUCUAUCAACACCAGUAAAGGGUCGAUAUCAAUAUUUGUCAUGUUAGCACCAAUCACCAGCAAGCCGAUACCUUCGCUAAGCCUUUAGAUGAAAGAAUAUUUUGUGAGUUGUGUAGUGAGUUUAAUGUCUUAGAUUCACGGAACUUGGAUUAAUCUAUAGCAUACAUCAUUUAUGUAUCUUUGAUCAUGUUAAUUAUGUCUAUAAUUUGCUUUGUUGCUUAUUUUGGUGCUCAAGUUAUAGAAUGUCAUCCUCGGACCUCACAAGUCCUUGUGCAUUGAUGCAUAUAUUUAGGGGGAGGAUACACUACAACUUGACCCUUUGAGACUAAUGUGUUUGCUUGAGUGAUUUUGAUGUAGUCUCAAAGGUGGAAUGAAAGGAAAUUGAUGGAUUUGGACAAAGGAAAUGGCUUCCACUCAAUAACGGUAUCAACGUACUUUAGUCCAAAUUCUCUUGAUUUUCAUUGCCUUGUGCUCUUUAUUUGCAAUUUUUGGUGAUGCAAUGGGGUUUGAGGCCACUAGUGUCUCCGUUUUGGUGCUUAAUGCCAAAGGGAAAAAGUUAAGGCCAAAUCAACUGGAUCAGUUGACACUUGUGAAUUUCAAAAAGUUUUGUGUUUCGAACAUGUCUUUUUGAUCAAAACCCUCUUGAUAGCAAAGAUGAGCCCUCUGAUUGCAAAACUAUUCUCUUAUGUGGGAGAAAUCUUUCUUAUGGGAAAAUGUGAGAGUUUUUUUGUAUUUGAUCAAAACUAUUCUUGAAAAAUGGUUUGAUUUGCAAAACUAAAGUGUCUUGACUUAGAAGUUAGAAAAAUGAAUUUGUUUUGCAAAAACAAACCAAAUGGUGCCAAAACUAUCCAAAUAUGCCAAAUCAUAUGAAUCUCCAAUUGGCUUUUAAUUGGACUUCAAUUUGCAAAUAUUGAUGACUCAUAUCUAGUUAAGUUAGUAUUUUUGAGUUGCUUUAGAUGUGUUGGCAUAAAUCACCAAAAAGGGAGAGAUUGAAAUGGAAAUGUGCCCUUGGACCAUUUCUAGUUGUUUUGGUGAUUAAAUGCCCAACGCAUCAUUUUGAGCUAACCAUAUUGAUAAGAGCAUGAACACAUGUAAAGAAAGCAAAUUGAAGAUAUCAAGUUGAAAAGAGCACAUACAUGGACCAAGUGAGGAACUUGAUAUAAAAUGGUACAAGUCUAAGGUUUGCACUUGUAAAUAUGUUGCAUAGGUCCAUUACAAUGUUUCUAGUACUUGUGUUUGGGCUCUAACCUAUUUUGUAGAGAAAAGCACUUUUGGGCUUAAGUUUGCACGCAUUGCAAAUCAUUUUGAAAUGGAGUGAUAAAGGUAUGAUCCUAACACUUAGUCAAUUGCUUUGCUUUCUAACUAUGUUUGUCUACGUGCUAGAGAACUUCUCAAGUCGAGCCAAAAGAAGCCAAAGAAGUUUGGCACAAAAUAGAAGAAAGUGGUCUAGUGCGGGCAGCACCGGAUAGUCCGGUGCCCUCUACAACGAACUGGCCAGCCUCAGCCUCUGCUCGGCUCCCUCGGCUAAAAUCACCCGACAGUCCGGGUAGAGCACCGGGCAAUCUAGUGUACCAGGCGGUCAACGGCUACAUCGGCCACGUCAGCAGCGCCAACACUCAAAUGGGUCACUGGAGAGUCUGGUUCCCCCAGAUCAGGAAACCGACAAUGUCUGGUGCACCCGCGAACAGAUGAAGGUUGGUAGCUUCCAAAUGAAGCUCCAAGGGCUCCUAGGCCCUUUAGGCCUAUAAAAGAUACCCCUAGAUACCAUGGAGGAAGAAAGCAAGCAUUCUGAGAGCACACUACAACUCCGAAACCCCACAACAUGCCUUCAAAGUGUUUGAGAGAAAUUUGAGCGUGUUUCUGAGUUGUCAUUCCGUUGUUUUGUUCUUGCACUCUCUUCUUUGCUUGUGUGCGUGUUGUUUCUACGAUUGUGCUCUUGUGUGCGUGUUCUUACUCCCUCCCUUACUCCGGUUUUGAUUGUGAUCAUUUGUGUAAGGCGUGAGAGACUCCAACUUGUGGAGAUUCCUCAUAAACGGGGUCAAGAUAUAAGUCCUAGCUCUGAUACCAAUUGAAAGUUCACUUUGCCCGAGAACAUGAUCUAGAUGUCACCUGAAGGGGGGUGAAUAGGUAAAAUAAAAAUAACACUUAAAAAAACUAGAAAUUCUUACUCUACUCGAAGACUGGAUCGCAGUGGAAUGAAAGACCCUUCGAGUAGGUCGCAACGGAAAUGUUCCUGUCUCAAAUUACCCUGCACUUUGAAAGUCGCCUAGAGGGGGGGGGGGUGGUGAAUAGGGCGAAACUGAAAUUCUCAAAAAUAAUCACAACUACAAGCCGGGUUAGCGUUAGAAAUAUAAUCGAGUCCGCGAGAGAGGGCGCAAAACAAAUCGCAAGCGAAUAAUGAAGUGAGACACACGGAUUUGUUUUACCGAGGUUCGGUUCUCUCAAACCUACUCCCCGUUGAGGAGGCCACAAAGGCCGGGUCUCUUUCAACCCUUUCCUCUCUCAAACGGUCCCUCGGACCGAGUGAGCUACUCUUUCUCAAAUCACUUGGGAAUCAAACUUCCCGCAAGGACCACCACACAAUUGGUGUCUCUUGCCUCAAUUACAAGUGAGUGUUUGAUCACAAGAAAGAAUGCCAAAGAAAAAGAAGCGAUCCAAGCGCAAGAGCUCAAAUGAACACUACAAAUCACUCUCUCUAGUUACUAGGGCUUUGUGUGGAGUUGGGAGAGGAUUUGAUCUUUUUGAUGUGCUUUGCAAUGAAUGCUAGCUCUUGUAUAGUGGUUGGAAGCUGGAAAACUUGGAUGCUCUGAAUGGUGGGGUGGUUGGGGUAUUUAUAGCCCCAACCACCAAACUUGACCGUUGGUGGAGCUGUCUGUCGUAUGGUGCACCGGACAGUCCGGUGCACACUGGACAUGUCCGGUGCGACAGCCACGUCACCAAAUAGUCGUUGGGUCGACCGUUGGAGUUCUGACAGCUCGGCCCGCCUUGAUGUCCGGUGGCGCACCGGACAUGCACUGUAGAGUGUCCGGUGCGCCUGCUCCCGCGUGCCUGACGACUGCGCGCUUCUGGCGCGCAUUAAAUGCGCCUGCAGGUGACCGUUGGCGCGAAGUAGCCGUUGCCCAGAGGUUGCACCAGACAGUCCGGUGCACACCGGACAUGUCCGGUGAAUUAUAGCGGAGCAGCCUUGACGAAUUCCCGAGACUGGCGAGUUCCUGAGCCGCGUCUUCUAUGGAGCACCGGACACUGUCCGGUGUGCACCGGACAGUCCGGUGAAUUUUAGUGCGCUGGCUCUGGAAAAUCCCGAGGGCGAUGAGUUUGAGCUGAAGUCCUCUGGUGCACCGGACACUGUCCGGUGGCACACCGGACAGUCCGGUGCACCAGACCAGAGAAGUCUUUGGUUGCUCCUUUGCCCUUUUGUUGAACCCAACUCUUGGUCUUUUUAUUGGCUAAGUGUGAACCUUUUGCACCUGUAUAACUUAUACACUAGAGCAAACUAGUUAGUCCAAAGAUUUGUGUUGGGCAAUUCAACCACCAAAAUUAUUUAGGAACUAGGUGUAACCCUGAUUCCCUUUCAAUCUCCCCCUUUUUGGUGAUUGAUGCCAACACAAACUAAAGCAAAUAUAAUUUUGCAAAAUUAAACUAGUUUGCAUAAUGUAAGUGCAAAGGUUGCUUGGAAUUGAGCCAAUAUAAAUACUUACAUGAUGCGCAUGGAUUGUUUCUUUGUUUUUAACAUAUUGGACCACAUUUGCACCACGAGUUUUGUUUUGCAAAAUCUUUUGUAAAUUCUUUUCAAGGACUUUUUGCAAGAUAGUCAAAGGUAAAUGAGUAAGAUUUUUGCAAAAGCAUUUUCAAGCUUGAAAAAUUUCUCCCCUGGUUUCAAAUGCUUAUCCUUUGACUAAACAAAACUCCCCCUCAAAUAAAUUCUCCUCUUAGUGUUCAAGAGGGUUUUAAGAUAUCAAUUUUGAAAAUACUAUGCUCCCCCUUUAGAACACAAAGAGAUACCAAUUUUGAAAUUCACCAAUUGAAAAUCUCAUUUGAAAAUCUCAUCAAAUUUUUAAAAUUAAGUUUGGUGGUGCGGUCCUUUUGCUUUGGGCUCAUACUUUCUCCCCCUUUGGCAUGAAUCGCCAAAAACGAAAUCAUUAGAGCCCUACGAAGUACUUUCUCCUUCUUUGGUCAUAAGAUAAAUGAGUGAGGGUUAUACCAAAAUUGGAGAGAUGCUCGGAGUGACGGCGAAGGAUGAGUAGUGGAGUGGAAGCCUUUGUCUUCGCCGGAGACUCCAAUUCCCUUUCAAUAUACCUAUGACUUGGUUUGAAAUACACUUGAAAACACAUUAGUCAUAGCAUAUAAAAGAGACAUGAUCAAAGGUAUACUUGUGUGCUAUGUGUGCAAAUUAGCAAAAGAAGUUCCUAGAAUCAAGAAUAUUAAGCUCAUGCCUAAGUCUGGUAAAAGAUUGCUCAUCAAGUGGCUUGGUAAAGAUAUCGGCUAAUUGAUCUUUAGUAUUAAUGUAUGAAAUCUCGAUAUCCCCCUUUUGUUGGUGAUCCCGAAGAAAAUGAUACCGAAUGGCUAUGUGUUUAGUGCGGCUAUGCUCAACGGGAUUGUCGGCCAUUUUGAUUGCACUCUCAUUAUCACAUAGCAAAGGGACUUUGGUUAAUUUGUAACCGUAGUCCCGCAGGGUUUGCCUCAUCCAAAGUAAUUGCACGCAACAAUGGCCUGCGGCAAUGUACUCGGCUUCGGCGGUAGAAAGAGCAACCGAAUUUUGCUUCUUUGAAGCCCAAGACACCAAGGAUCUUCCCAAGAACUGGCAAGUCCCCGAUGUGCUCUUCCUAUUAAUCUUACACCCUGCCCAAUCGGCAUCCGAAUAACCAAUUAAAUCAAAAGUGGAUCCCCGAGGAUACCAAAGCCCAAACUUAGGAGUAUAAGCCAAGUAUCUCAAGAUUCGUUUUACGGCCGUAAGGUGUGAUUCCUUAGGGUCGGCUUGGAAUCUUGCACACAUGCAAACGGAAAGCAUAAUGUCCGGUCGAGAUGCACAUAAGUAGAGCAAUGAACCAAUCAUCGACCGGUAUACCUUUUGAUCCACGGACUUACCUCCCGUGUCGAGGUCGAGAUGCCCAUUUGUUCCCAUGGGAGUCUUGAUGGGCUUGGCAUCCUUCAUUCCAAACUUGCUUAAAAUGUCUUGAGUAUACUUCGUUUGGCAAAUGAAAGUGCCCUCUUGGAGUUGCUUGACUUGAAAUCCUAGAAAAUACUUCAACUCCCCCAUCAUAGACAUCUCGAAUUUCUGUGUCAUGAUCCUACUAAAUUCUUCACAUGUAGAUUUGUUAGUAGACCCAAAUAUAAUAUCAUCAACAUAAAUUUGGCAUACAAACAAAUCAUUAUCAAGUGUUUUGGUGAAUAAAGUAGGAUCAGCUUUGCCGACUUUGAAGCCAUUAGCUAUAAGGAAAUCUCUAAGGCAUUCAUACCAUGCUCUUGGGGCUUGCUUGAGCCCAUAAAGCGCCUUAGAGAGCCUAUAAACAUGGUUAGGGUACUCACCGUCUUCAAAGCCGGGAGGUUGCUCAACAUAGACCUCCUCCUUGAUCGGUCCAUUGAGGAAAGCACUCUUCACGUCCAUUUGAUAAAGCUUGAAGCCAUGGUAAGUAGCAUAGGCUAAUAAUAUGCGAAUUGACUCAAGCCUAGCUACGGGUGCAUAGGUUUCACCAAAAUCCAAACCUUCGACUUGUGAAUACCCCUUGGCCACGAGUCGAGCUUUGUUCCUAGUCACCACACCAUGCUCAUCUUGCUUGUUGCGGAAGACCCACUUGGUUCCUACAACAUUUUGGUUAGGACGUGGAACUAAGUGCCAUACUUCAUUCCUUGUGAAAUUGUUGAGAUCCUCUUGCAUCGCCAUCACCCAAUCUGAAUCUUGUAGUGCUUCCUCUACCCUGUGUGGCUCAAUAGAGGAAACAAACGAGUAAUGCUCACAAAAAUGUGCAAUACGAGAUCGAGUGGUUACCCCCUUAUGAAUAUCGCCUAGGAUGGUGUCGACGGGAUGAUCUUGUUGUAUUGCUUGGUGGACUCUUGGGUGUGGCGGCCUUGGUUCUUGCUCAUCCUCCUUUUCUUGAUCAUUUCCAUCUCCCCCUUGAUCGUUGCCGUCAUUUUGAGGUGGCUCAUCUUCUUGAUCUUCUUGUUCAACAUCCUGAGCCUCAUCCUCAAUUUGAGUUGGUGGAGAUGCUUGCAUGGAGGAGGAUGUUUGAUCUUGUGCAUUUGGAGGCUCUUCGGAUUCUUUAGGACACACAUCCCCAAUGGACAUGUUCCUUAGAGCGAUGCACGGAGCCUGUUCUUCACCUAUCUCAUCAAGAUCAACAUGCUCUACUUGAGAGCCGUUAGUCUCAUCAAACACAACGUCACAAGAAACUUCAACAAGUCCUGAGGACUUGUUAAAGACUCUAUAUGCCCUUGUGUUUGAGUCAUAUCCUAGUAAAAAACCUUCUACAGUUUUAGGAGCAAAUUUUGAUUUUCUACCUCUUUUAACAAGAAUAAAGCAUUUGCUACCAAAAACUCUAAAAUAUGAAAUAUUUGGCUUUUUACCAGUAAGGAGUUCAUAGGAUGUCUUCUUGAGGAUUCGGUGAAGAUAUAACCGGUUGAUGGCGUAGCAGGCGGUGUUGACCGCCUCGGCCCAAAACCGAUCCGGUGUCUUGUACUCAUCAAGCAUGGUUCUUGCCAUGUCCAAUAGAGUUCGAUUCUUCCUCUCCACUACACCAUUUUGUUGUAGAGUGUAGGGAGAAGAGAACUCAUGCUUGAUGCCCUCCUCCUCAAGAAAGUCUUCUAUUUGUGAGUUCUUGAACUCCGUCCCGUUGUCGCUUCUGAUUUUCUUGAUCCUUAAGCCGAACUCAUUUUGAGCUCGUCUCAAGAAUCCCUUCAAGGUCUCUUGGGUAUGAGAUUUUUCCUGCAAAAAGAACACCCAAGUGAAGCGAGAAUAAUCAUCCACAAUAACUAGACAGUACUUACUCCCGCCGAUGCUUAUGUAAGCAAUCGGGCCGAAUAAAUCCAUGUGUAGUAGCUCCAGUGGCCUGUCACUAGUCAUGAUGUUCUUGUGUGGAUGAUGAGUGCCAACUUGCUUCCCGGCUUGGCAUGCGCUACAAAUCCUGUCUUUCUCAAAAUGAAUAUUGGUUAGUCCUAAAAUGUGUUCUCCCUUUAGAAGCUUGUGAAGAUUCUUCAUUCCAACAUGGGCUAGUCGGCGGUGCCAGAGCCAACCCAAGUUAGUCUUAGCAACCAAGCAAGUGUCGAGUUCAGCUCUAUCAAAAUCUACCAAGUAUAGCUGACCCUCUAACACUCCCUUAAAUGCUAUUGAAUCAUCACUUCUUCUAAAGACAGUAACACCUAUAUCAGUAAAUAGACAGUUGUAGCCCAUUUGACAUAAUUGGGAUACGGAAAGCAAAUUGUAAUCUAAUGAAUCAACAAGAAAAACAUUGGAAAUAGUAUGGUCAGGUGAUAUAGCAAUUUUACCCAAUCCUUUGACCAAACCUUGAUUUCCAUCCCCGAAUGUGAUAGCUCGUUGGGGAUCUUGGUUUUUCUCAUAUGAGGAGAACAUCUUCUUCUCCCCUGUCAUGUGGUUUGUGCACCCGCUGUCGAGUAUCCAACUUGAGCCCCCGGAUGCAUAAACCUACAAAACAAUUUUAGUUCUUGACUUUAGGUACCCAAACGGUUUUGGGUCCUUUGGCAUUAGAAACAAGAACUUUGGGUACCCAAACACAAGUCUUGGAGCCCUUGUGUUUGCCCCCAACAAACUUGGCAACUACCUUGCUGGAUUUGUUAGUUAAAACAUAUGAUGCAUCAAAAGUUUUGAAUGAAAUAGCAUGAUCAUUUGAUGCAUUAGGAGUUUUCUUUCUAGGCAACUUGGCACGGGUUGGUUGCCUAGAGCUAGAUGUCUCACCCUUAUACAUAAAAGCAUGGUUAGGGCCAGAGUGAGACUUCCUAGAAUGAGUUUUCCUAAUUUUGCUCUCAGGAUAGCUGGCAGGGUACAAAAUGUAACCCUCGUUAUCCUGAGGCAUAGGAGCCUUGCCCUUAACGAAGUUAGAUAAAUUCUUUGGAGGGGCAUUAAGUUUGACAUUGUCUCCCCUUUGGAAGCCAAUGCCAUCCUUGAUGCCCGGGCGUCUCCCACUAUAGAGCAUACUUCUAGCAAAUUUAAACUUUUCAUUUUCCAAGUUAUGCUCAACAAUUUUUGCAUCUAAUUUUGCUAUAUGAUCAUUUUGUUGUUUAAUUAAGACCAUGUGAUCAUGAAUAGCAUCAACAUCAAUAUCUCUACAUCUAGUACAAAUAGAAACAUGCUCAACGGUAGAUGUAGAGGGUUUGCAAGAUUUUAAUUCAACAACCUUAGCAUGUAAUAUAUCAUUAUCACUUCUAAGGUUGGAAAUAGUAACAUCAAAAUCCUUAGCCUUAGCAAUUAAAUUUUCAUUUUCUAUUCUAAGGCUAGCAAGAGAUACAUUCAAUUCAUCAAUCUUGGCAAGCAAAUCAUCAUUAUUAUUUCUAAGAUUGGGAACAUCACAAACAUGAGAAUCAACCUUAGCAAUUAAUCUAGCAUUUUCAUUUCUAAGGUUGUUAAUAGUGUCAUGGCAUGUGCUUAGCUCAUUAGAUAAUUCGUUACAUUUUUCUACCUCUAGAGCAUAAGCAUUUUUAACCUUAACAUGCUUCUUAUUUUCCUUGAUUAGGAAGUCCUCUUAGGAGUCCAAGAGAUCGUCCUUUUCAUGGAUGGCACUAAUUAGCUCAUUUAAUUUUUCUUUUUGUUCCAUGUUAAGGUUGGCAAAAAGGAUACACAAAUUAUCUUCCUCACCACUAGCAUUAUCAUCACUAGAAGAUUCAUAUUUAGUGGAGGAGUUAGAUUUAACCUUCUUCCUUUUGCCGUCCUUUGCCAUGAGGCACUUGUGGCCGACGUUGGGAAAGAGAAGCCCCUUGGUGACGGCGAUGUUGGCGGCGUCCUCGUCGGAGGAGGACUCGGUGGAGCUCUCGUCGGAGUCCCACUCGCGGCACACGUGGGCAUCGCCGCCCCUCUUCUUGUGGUACUUCUUCUUCUCUCUUCUCUUGCCCUUCUUGUCGUUGUCCCUGUCACUGUCACUUGAUAAUGGACAUUUAGCGAUAAAGUGACCGGGCUUACCACACUUGUAGCAAACCUUCUUGGAACGAGAUUUGUAAUCCUUCCCCUUCCGUUGCUUAAGGAUUUGCCGAAAGCUUUUGAUGAUUAAGGCCAUCUCUUUAUUGUCGAGCUUGGAGGCGUCAAUUGGUUGUCUACUUGGUGUAGACUCCUCCUUCUUCUCCUCCGUUGCCUUAAAUGCCACCGGUUGCGCCUCGGACGUGGAGGGUUCGUCAAGCUCGUUGAUCUUCUUUGAGCCUUUAAUCAUGCAUUCAAAACUCACAAAAUUCCCGAUAACUUCCUCGGGGGUCAUUAGUGGAUAUCUAGGAUUACCACGAAUUAAUUGAACUUGAGUGGGGUUAAGGAAAAUAAGAGCUCUUAAAAUAACCUUAACCACCUCAUGGUCAUCCCACUUUUUGCUCCCGAGGUUGCGCACUUGGUUCACCAAGGUCUUGAGCCGGUUGUACAUGUCUUGUGGCUCCUCCCCUUGGCGAAGACGGAAGUGACCGAGCUCCCCCUCGAUCGUUUCCCGCUUGGUGAUCUUGGUAAGUUCAUCACCCUCGUGCGCGGUCUUGAGUAGGUCCCAAAUCUCCUUUGCAUUCUUCAACCCUUGCACUUUGUUGUAUUCCUCCUUGCUUAGAGAAGCGAGGAGUAUGGUUGUGGCUUGGGAGUUGAAGUGCUCGAUUUGGGCUACUUCGUCCGUGUCAUAAUCCUCAUCCUCUACAGAUGGUACCUGUACACCAAACUCAACGACAUCCCAUAUACUUUUGUGGAGUGAGGUUAGAUGAAAUCGCAUUAAAUCACUCCACAUAGCAUAAUCUUCACCAUCAAAAGUUGGUGGUUUGCCUAAUGGGACGGAAAGUAAGGGUGUAUGUUUAGGAAUGCGAGGGUAGCGUAGGGGAAUCUUACUAUACUUCUUACGCUCUUGGCGUUUAGAAGUGACGGACGCCGCGUCGGAGCCGGAGGUGGAUGUCGAUGAAGAAUCGGUCUCGUAGUAGACCACCUUCCUCAUCCUCUUCUUCUUGUCCCCGCUCCGAUGUGGCUUGUGGGAAGAGGACUUUUCCUUCUUCUCUUUGUGAUGUGAAGAAGAUUUAUCCUUCCCUUUGGAGGAGUCCUUCUUCUUUUCUUCGUGGUGUGAAGAAGAUCUUUUCUCCUUCCCUUUGGAGGAGACCUUCCUCUUCUCCUUCCUCUUGGUGCGGGACUCUUCUGAUGAAGUGAUCCCGUGGCUUGUAGUGGGCUUUUCUCCGGUCUCCAUCUCCUUCUUGGCGUGAUCUCCCGACAUCACUUCGAGCGGUUAGGCUCUAAUGAAGAACCGGGCUCUGAUACCAAUUGAUAGUCGCCUAGAGGGGGGGGGGUGAAUAGGGCGAAACUGAAAUUUACAAAUAUAAACACAACUACAAGCCGGGUUAGCGUUAGAAAUAUAAUAGAGUCCGCGAGAGAGGGCGCAAAACAAAUCGCAAGCGAAUAAUGAAGUGAGACACGCGGAUUUGUUUUACCGAGGUUCGGUUCUCUCAAACCUACUCCCCGUUGAGGAGGCCACAAAGGCCGGGUCUCUUUCAACCCUUCCCUCUCUCAAACGGUCCCUCGGACCGAGUGAGCUACUCUUUCUCAAAUCACUUGGGAAUCAAACUUCCCGCAAGGACCACCACACAAUUGGUGUCUCUUGCCUCAAUUACAAGUGAGUGUUUGAUCACAAGAAAGAAUGCCAAAGAAAAAGAAGCGAUCCAAGCGCAAGAGCUCAAAUGAACACUACAAAUCACUCUCUCUAGUUACUAGGGCUUUGUGUGGAGUUGGGAGAGGAUUUGAUCUUUUUGAUGUGCUUUGCAAUGAAUGCUAGCUCUUGUAUAGUGGUUGGAAGCUGGAAAACUUGGAUGCUCUGAAUGGUGGGGUGGUUGGGGUAUUUAUAGCCCCAACCACCAAACUUGACUGUUGGUGGAGCUGUCUGUCGUAUGGUGCACCGGACAGUCCGGUGCACACCGGACAUGUCCGGUGCGACAACCACAUCACCAAAUAGUCGUUGGGUCGACCGUUGGAGUUCUGACAGCUGGGCCCGCCUUGAUGUCCGGUGGCGCACCGGACAUGCACUGUAGAGUGUCCGGUGCGCCUGCUCCCGCGUGCCUGACGACUGCGCGCUUCUGGCGCGCAUUAAAUGCGCCUGCAGGUGACCGUUGGCGCGAAGUAGCCGUUGCCCAGAGGUUGCACCGGACAGUCCGGUGCACACCGGACAUGUCCGGUGAAUUAUAGCGGAGCAGCCUUGACGAAUUCCCGAGACUGGCGAGUUCCUGAGCCGCGUCUUCUAUGGAGCACCGGACACUGUCCGGUGUGCACCGGACAGUCCGGUGAAUUUUAGUGCGCUGGCUCUGGAAAAUCCCGAGGGCGAUGAGUUUGAGCUGAAGUCCUCUGGUGCACCGGACACUGUCCGGUGGCACACCGGACAGUCCGGUGCACCAGACCAGAGAAGUCUUUGGUUGCUCCUUUGCCCUUUUGUUGAACCCAACUCUUGGUCUUUUUAUUGGCUAAGUGUGAACCUUUUGCACCUGUAUAACUUAUACACUAGAGCAAACUAGUUAGUCCAAAGAUUUGUGUUGGGCAAUUCAACCACCAAAAUUAUUUAGGAACUAGGUGUAACCCUGAUUCCCUUUCACACUUCAAAGACAACUUGUACCAUAGAUAAGUAUUGAAGUGCAAGUAUAAAAAGCAAAUAAGAUAGAGAGACAACACACAACACAGAGCAGAGCUCAUAGACAUAGGGAUUUAUCCCAAGGUUCGGCCAAGCCUGAAAUGCUUGCCUAGUCAUCGUUGCUGUUAGACACACCUUGGCUUGGAUUCUAUUUCAACUCCUUCCUCCGUUUGCUCAGAUCUGUCAAUGUGACUGAUAGAGCCUUUCACUAUAUUGAUGAUGGUUACAACGAUACCGCGACUGCUUAAAGUCUUCUUGACAGCACUCCGGCAGAGUAACAACGCUCAAGGUCUUGCUCUUGCUCUCAGUAGCACCUCCCCUCUCUCUAAAGGCUUAUAAUUGUGCCUCUACAUAAACUAGAAAGAUACACAAGAGAGGGAGAGAAAGAUUUGAUCACAAUGAUGUAUGGAAUUGUUGGCUGCACUUGUACUCUUGUUGGAGGCGCCUAGGGGUCCCUUCUAUAGUUCCAAGGGGCCUAGGAGCCGUUGGAGCUUUAUUUGGAAGCUCCCAGCCUUCCCUGUCUGCUGGUGCACCAGACACCGGACAUCGCACAGUAACAGUCGCCUGCAGAUCUGAUUGGUAGUUUCCUUCUUUGAAAGGGCUAGUCGUUAGUGCACCGGAUAUGUUACUAUUCGUUGUUAUGUGCACCGGACAUGUUACUAUUCACUACCCUGUGCGCCAGACAUGUUACUAUUCAUUGUCCUAUGCGCAAGCCAACAACACACUAGGUGCUUUUCCCUCCAUUCUUUCUCCAUUUGACUUCAACUUUUGGGAGCAUUUUCUUGAGACAAAGACAAACACAUUUAGAGUAUACUCCAAUUUUCUUGUGGCUUACACCAUAUAACCAUAGUAUCACCUCAUUGGUUAUAAGUCACGUUCUUAAGUCGUGAUCCUCGGUGCACUAUAUCUCUUCUCAACUCGUUCAACCUUGACUUUGCAAGUCUUCUUCUUCACACUUGGCUUUGGGUUCCUCGGCCUUUUUGACAUUCUCCCGUGCACACUGCAUCUCGAAGCUCUUCUUGCCUCCAUCAUUGGCUUGAUCAGUUGUCUUUAAGUUACGCACACCGAGUCUCACUUAAACAAUGUACAUCUUACUUGUGAUGUCCAUUAUCCCUAAACAUUCUAGUCUUUGGACCAUCACACUUGUUCACUUGUGUUGAACCAUGUAAGCUUUGCACUAAGCACCUGUUCAACACUUAGCACACCUGUUAGUACUUUAAUUGGGUUGUCAUCCAAACCACUAAAACCCACAAUAGAGCUUUCAAAAAGACCUCCAGAUUUCUUCGCUUUUUUGCUUUUACUGCCAAAGGGGGAGAAAUUAAUGGGCCAAAGCAAAAGGACCACACCACCACCUUGUUUCCUCAAAACUUUUUAUCUUCCAAAUUUAUACUACUGCAUUUGCGAAAACCCUCUUGAGUCUUGAUAGCUAAGACGAGAAAAACUAUUUGUGCCAAAGGAGAGAACUUAUUUACGGGGAGAUUUUAUUAGGCCAAAGGAAAAACAUUUUAAAAAGAGGAUAAUCAUUCAAACUAAGAAAUGCUUUUGAAAAUCCUAUUUUUACACCUUAGGCCAACUGCAAAUGAAUUUGAAAAGAUCUUACCAAAAGAUUUGCAAAAACAAGCUAAGUGGUGCAAAUGUGGUCCAAAAUUUUAACUAUGUCAAAAACAUACAUAUAUACUUAGAACUGCUUUCACUUCAGCAACUUAUGCACUCUUGUCAAUUUGCAAAGUAGUUACAUUUCUCCACUUUAUAUUUGCUUUGAUUUGCGUUGGCAUCAGUCACCAAAAAGGGGUGAUUGAAAUGAAAAUGGUCUUUACCAUUUUCUCUAUCGGGGCGUUUGGAUUGUCAAUUUGCAAAGUAGUUACAUUUCUCCACUUUAUAUUUGCUUUGAUUUGCGUUGGCAUCAGUCACCAAAAAGGGGUGAUUGAAAUGAAAAUGGUCUUUACCAUUUUCUCUAUCGGGGCGUUUGGAUCUAUUCAUUUUUGAGAAAUUGGAAUUUACUUAAUGAAGUAACUUAUUUGGCUUGGAAUUUAACGUUCCACCACUUUCUAAAGUUCGGAUACAAGCCUAUCUCAAAUUCAUAGGGUAGAUGAUGAGAAAUGAUUUUAUGUAUCAGUAGAAUAUGUUUCCACUCUGCAACUUAUAGGACGUUCUUCAGCUCACUCAUUUAUAGUAAAAAUAUAGCACAUAAAUAUCUUCGACAUCUCGCUAAUAAUAAUAUACAGAUAUAUUUUGCAUAAAAUUGUAUUGGCUUAAUUGAUAUUUGCCUAAAAUAUUAGAAUGGAAUUCAAUUACAAGGAUCCAAACGAGGUGUAAUUUAUUUUGGUGCUUGAUGACCAUCACAACCUUAUGGACUAACUAGUUUUUCUAUUUGAUUGAUUCACAUGUGCAUAAGUCUAUCCAUCUCAAAUUUAAAUCGAUUGUCCGAAAUAACAUAAAUUAUUCUGGACAUGAGAGUUUUUUGGAAAAAUUUCUGUGCGUAGACCGUUAGGGCUCUUUCGGCGGACCAUACGCGACACCUCGGACAGGAACUGUGUAAAUUUUAACACUUCUACUACAAACUGUUCAAAGGAGAGAAGAGCACCGUCCGGGACUAAGCGUCGACCGUCCGUCCCUCAGGAGCGGAAUGUCCGCCAGAUGAAAACCAGAAAAACUCGAAGGUGCAGGGUUCGCUAAAAACCAUUUUUGGCGUCCCCGUGGACUGUUCAGGGUGCACGACCGAACCAUCUGCGACUGCCUUAUUUAACAUCUGGCGAAGCAUUUAAUACGCUUAUAGCUGUUUAUAUAGUCGUUACUGCUGGCCGUUGCGAUUCCCGUCGUUGAUGUGCAGGGACGGACCGUCUGCGUGUGGUAGGAAAGUUGACAACGGUAAUAUGAUGGUUGAUGGUUAUAAAUACAACCACUUCCAUUGAAUUUACCCAAGCCUCUACAACUCUCAUUCAUUGCUAAAAGCAAGUUCUUCACUUUAUCCACACUCAAAGCAUCAAAGUCCUCUUCAAGUGAUCAUUAGUGAUUAGUGCUUUAGAAAGCCUCAAGAGAGUGUGACAUUGUGAUUUUGUUGUUGCUCUUUUGGCUUGGUUUUUUUUACCGUGAUUUCUUCAUCUCCUUAUAGACUCUCAUUGACUUGUAAAGCUAGCAAGAGACACUUAAGUGUGUGGUGAUCCUUGCAGGAUCUAAGUGACCUUCAAGAUUAAGGAGAAGCACUCAACCGGUCUAAAUGACCGUUUGAGAGAGGGAAAUGGUUGAAAAUGAUCCGACCUACGUGGCCUACUCAACGGUGAGUAGGUUCUUUGGAACCGAAUCUCAGGAAACAAAUCGUCGUGUUUAUUUGUGUUGAUCAUGACUUUGCGAUUUCAUCGUUUCUCUUUCAUCUCUCUAAAGUCUAAAGUUCUCUUACUUAUCAUUAUAAGUUAGCUUACAAAGUUAUCCACAUUGAUUGGCAAGAAGAACCCUCUUCCGCACUCCGGUUAUAUUCAUAUUUGUUCUAACACUAACCUUGGGAGAAGAUUGUGUUUAAAGUUUAUAAUUUUCAGGUUUUGUCUCUAGACGACUUUCAAUAUUAUUUCAUUUUGUACUCGUUAAUACAAGUGAAGUCAAGUUAAAUUUAGUUAAAUUCUUUUGGUAUAUUGUGUUACACUUGUAAGUUGUUGCUAUGAAAUGAUGAAUUGUCAUGCAUGUUAAAACCUUAAAGACGUAUAUAUAAUAUUACUGUAAGAUUAUGAUGUAUUUGUUACGUUGAUUUGAUCACUUGAAAUGGUUAGAUGUAUUGAUAUUCCUUAUUUUAAUUUCCAGUUUCUAGUCGUUACCGAUAUGUUCCCGAUGGAUUAUAUCGUUUACUGUCAUCCUAUUACGUCUGUUUUAUUUUUCUGACCGACGAUUACGUUGCCGUUUCUGAUUUUAAAUUAAAAAUAUGAAUUUGAAAGUGGUUAGAUGGUUUGCCGACCGUCUAUUUUGAUCCCUAGCAUGGUGUACACAUCCCGCGUGUGAAGUUUCAGACCCGGUCACCGAGAAGCGGCUAUUGGGGAAUGAUCCCAGCUCAGUUCUUGCUUGUUUAGUAGUGCAUGUGCCUCUCUAGACUCUUCUGUCCAAAUCCAAUAAUGACAUUUUUUACAAAUUAAAAUACUCUUUGCUUCUCUAGCAAACUACGCGUUCGGGCGUGGCAUCUACGGAUAGUGGCAUCUAGCAAUAGUCAAAUUCGAUCACAAAAAACAAGUACUGAGCUCUUCACCAUCGUCGUCUUGGCCAAGAUGUCAAACAAGAUAAAUCCUAUAUAAUAGCAUCCUGUUCCAUCAUUAUAUCAAACUAACAGUUUUGUUUUUUUUAUCAUAUCGUGACAUUACCCAGUUGACCAAAUGGUUAAUUUUGAAAAGAGGAGCAUUUGCCGUUUCUUGCAUUGCAAAAGGCACGCAGUUUCCUGUUUGACCUGCAUCCAUAUGUGCCAAGCAUAAAAGCCUGAUGUAUUGAGUGUAUUGGUACUUGGUAGUAAGGUACUACCUUCCUGAUUAGCAUCAUGUACUUCUGCGUGUUUGGUUUCCUAAAGAGGCACAUCAUCAAGCAAAUAGGUGACAUGAUGCUUUAUGUCUUAUUCUUACAUGCAUCUCAGUUUCAUGGUUUCUUCAGUCUUGUUUCUUUCUCUCUGUCUUUUUAUUUGUGUUUUUAUGAAGUUAUGUUCCAAAAUUGACAAAAGGAAUAGCUCAUACACACUUGAUAAUAUGCUUUCUUCUUUUUAUCAGCAUAUUUCUCAAUCCAUUCUAACGUUGUCACUUCCAAAAUCCUGCUGUCGCUCAGGUUAUGAAACCUGCAUUCUUUCCAUUGAGGCAGAUGUUUAGAUGUACCUAUCAUUGUUUAACUUAUAUGGAAUGCUAUGUAGGUUUGUUGAAUGCUCCGAACAAAAGGACUAUGAGUCUGUUUGGUUUCAUACCUAAGACGUCACAAUCUGUCUAACCUUAAUCACUUGAAUUGAAGAAAUAAGGUUAGACAGAAAAGUUAGACACGUUGUGGCGCCUUAGACAGCAAACCAAACGGUCCCUGUGUUUGUCACUUCGUUAACUCUUCACCAAAUUGCAGGCUCACGGAGGAUACGGAAACCGUUUCAGAUUGUUGGAGAAGAUAGAUCAACAGCAGCUGCAGACGACUACAUAUAUGAAGAUGAUUCUGUGAAAAGAUCAAUCUUGAGCUCACCUUUAGUUGAGUUCAGCAGUGUUUAUUCAGCAACAAACAAUUUCAGCGAAAAGCUUGGCGAAGGUGGAUUUGGCCCAGUUUUCAAGGUGGAGCUAGUAUUGGAUAAAUCAUACACUUCCUCCAACUGUUAUGAUAUGGUCAAGUGUCCAAUUAGUUCCUUUCACGUGGAUAACCAUAGUGGAUACUUGAUUCUAUCUCCAGGGGAUACUACCUGACGGCCAAGAGAUCGCUAUUAAGAGGCUAUCUAAGACCUCCGCGCAGGGACUGGAGGAGUUCAAGAACGAGGUGACGGUGCUAUCCAAGCUGCAGCACCGGAACUUGGUGAGGCUUUUCGGUUGUUGUGUUCAUGGAGAGGAGAAGAUGAUGGUGUACGAAUACAUGCCCAACAAGAGUCUGGACUCAUUUAUUUUCAGUAAGUUUUCAGCUACCUGGAGCCCUGAUUCUAUACAGAUACUCUAUACAGUGAGCCAGCAAACGAACCCAAAUUUUUCCUAUGGACAGUUAACACUUCCUAUCGAAAUUUCCAGACGAAAGUAAGAGGCUCGUGUUAGGCUGGAGUCUGCGAUACAAGAUCAUUCAGGGAAUCGGGAGAGGGUUACUGUACCUCCACCAGGAUUCCAGGCUGAAAAUUAUUCACAGGGAUCUCAAGGCGAGCAACGUUCUGCUAGACGAUGAUUUCAGCCCCAAGAUCUCGGACUUUGGCAUGGCUAGGAUUUUCGGUGAACACCAGCUUCAAGACCUUACCCGUCGAAUCGUCGGAACCUAGUAAGGCUAGCUGUUUCUCUCUCUCUCUCUCUCUCUCUCUCUCUCUCUCUCUCUCUCUCUCUCUCUCUCUCUCUCUCUCUCUCUCUCUUUGUCAGUAUACAGUAUAGCUGAACAGGGAGUUCCAAUGCAUUUAUCUACCUCUGUAAUGGCUGGUUUACUGCUGCUAAGUAACUGCGUGAUCUGCAUCUUCUCUGUCGUAGUAGCCUUUGUAAUACUUUCUUACUGCUUCAUUCGGAUAGUAGACUGGUUCACAUCACCUGAUGACGACCUGCAGCUAACGCGAUAGAAUCUGUGGAACGCAGUGGCUACAUCUCCCCGGAGUACGCAAUGGAGGGCAAAUUCUCUGACAAAUCUGACGUAUUCAGUUUCGGCGUGCUGGUCCUAGAGAUCGUGAGUGGCCGCAGGAACAGCUCCCUCCUCGACGAUGAGUGGUCAAUGAACCUCUUGGGCUAUGUAAGAUGACACUGUCUCCUCCUCUACUCAGCAUAUACUUCUUUUCUGUUCAGAAACGAAUGAAUAUAAUAAUGUUCCAGGCAUGGACCCUGUGGAAGGAAGGCAGCGUCUCGGAGCUCAUCGACCCGCUCAUGGGAGCAACGUACGCUUACGAUGAAGCCUGCAGAUGCGUUCAGGUGGGUCUCCUGUGCGUGCAGGAGGUACCAGCCGAGAGGCCAGCCAUGCCCCUGGUGCUCAGGAUGCUGAGUGGUGACGCCGCGAUCCCGUCCCCGAAGCAAGCUGCGUUUUUCGUUGGGAGGGCACCUCGUCUUCCUCCUGCGGAUGACAGUAGUAAUACUGAAUCGGGGAAUCAAUUGACGUGCACGGAUCUUCAGGGCAGAUAGUCUCAGUCUCAGUCUCAGGGUGCACAAGCUUAUUCACGCCGUAUGUCGUAGCCGUACGUGGACAUGGCCUUGUGUUACACAGAUUAUAUUGCUGCUAGUGCUCGUGUUGUAAUUUCGCUGUAUAUAUAUCGUACCCGUAUGUGUGUUGUCGUUUGACACUGUAAAUUGUAAAUGUGAUGCUAGAACUGUUCUUCCUCAUGCACCUUGGAGAUCUAGGAGAGGAUGGCUAUCUACUGCUCUUUGGUUUGGUCCAAUCAAGCCCACGGCAAACGCGGGCCUUGUCAGUACGUCAUCGCGGGACGACAAUUCGGUCAUGGUCGCUUGUCGGUGACACCUCUCGAUCGCUCGCUCGCUGCCUCAGUAAAUUCACCAAACGAAACGAGUGAAGAAGGUGGACUCCCCAGUCCCCACUAGUUUGUCAGUCUCCCAAACAGCUGUCGCCUGUUAAUAGUCGGUGCUGCUACGAGCAGACGUCUAGCAACUAGUCUCAAGAGUCUCUCUCCAGGGUUUGCUUUCAGACGCGAUGUGAGGCAUGCAGCGUAUAAACUUGACCAUGUGGCAUAACUAGCAGUGGAUACGCAAGAGACCACUUGUUAAGCCACAUCACCGUCCAUAUUUUGGUUGUGUUUCUUUUAUACAAUAACAAAACUUGAUAUUGUGCGUGCUAGCUAGGAUGAUCUAGCCGUGUACACCUUCUAGAGCGCUUAUUAGAAACGUACGUGCAGUUUGUAUAUAUAAUUAAAUUGUUAUUUCUUAGUUGUAACAAUACAUAUUUUUUGUUCUAGAAUGUUGGCGCUGCCUACCGGAAUGUGCAGCUCGACGGCGAUCGGUAACAUAGGAAUUGUGUCUACCGCGUCGCACAAUCCUCUAACACACGCGAACACAAGAGAAUGCCGCUACCAAGAGUUGCAGCCUUUUCGGUUUCAUUUGUUCCUCUUAUAUACUGGUGUUUACACGAACUGCAUCUUAAGACCCCCCGUUAUGCAUGACCAUGUUGCGUCGUGCUCGGCUAAAACGCGAGGAUGUUUCAUGGUUGCACCGUGAACAUAGCUCGUUCUCACAUGCAGCUAGUUAAAAAUAGUUAAGCAAACACGCAUUACCAAAUUACAUGAAUGGGAAUGCAAAUCAUGCACGAGAUUGACCCCCUAAUCCCAUUGCACAUCGAUCACUCCUUGCUGCUGCCUUAGCUCGAUGAAUCCGACCUUGCCAAGUGCCUUUGUCAUCAACUAACUGGUUCUGUGUGCUCACAUGGUUGAUGUCAAUCAUGUAUUUGUCAACACAUUCUCUAAUAAAAUAGUACCUUGUAUCUAUGUGCUUGCUUCGUUCAUGAUGAACUGGAUUUUUUACUUAGUGCUAUGGCAGACUUGUUGUCAACUAGGAGAUUGACUUUUUGAGGCUUAAUACCAAGCAGUUCACUCAAUAGGUGCCUAAGCCAAAUUCCCUGACAAGCUGCAUUUGCACUUGCAAUGUACUCAGGCUCACAUGAUGAAAGGGCAACUACCCUUUGCUUCUGUGACACCCAUGUGACCAAAUUCAUACCAACAAAGAAUACUAAGCCACUAGUACUUUUCAUGUCAUCUAUGUUGCUACCUAAGCCACUGUCACUAAACCUAAUUAAUAUGGCUUCAGCGGUUCUAGACCUCGUGUAUCUACAACCAUAGUUUAGAGUUCCAGCAAUAUACCGAAGUAUUUGCUUAACUGCUUCCUAGUGGCUCGUCCUUGGUGUCUCCGUGCAUGUAUCUGCUCACGACACCUACUACAAACGCAAUAUCUGGCCUGUCCCGUGUUAACAAUAUAUCUCAAGUUCCCAAUCACACUCCUAUACUUUGUUGUAUCGACAAGGGGAGACUUAUCUUCCUUGCUCCGUUUCAACUUGUUCUCCUCUAGAACAUGAUAGGGGUUGCACCCUUUUAUUCCUGCUUGCUCAAGAAUCUUUAGAGUAUAAGAACUCUGACACAAGGUUGUCUUUCUCUCAUUAUGAUCUACACGCGAACACAGGAGAAUGGCGUUGCCCAGAGUUACAACCUUUUUGGUUUUAUUUGUUUCCUUAUAUACUGGUGUUUACAUGGUCUGAGCCUCACGACCCUCCCGCCUUGCAUGCUCACAGUGUGUCGUGCCCGUCUAAAACGUCGAGGAUGUUUCAUGCACGAUAUGGCGAUGACCACUCUGGCCGCACCGGCCGUGAACGCAACACGGUUCUAGCUUCAACAUGGCUCGUUCUCACACACAAUUAGCUAAAAUUAGUUAAGCAAACAUGCAAUACCAAAUUAGAUGAAUAAUACCAAAUUAGAUGAAUGUGAAUGCAAAUAAUGCACAGGAUUAACUAACUAACAGAGAAAAAUAAACAGGGAAAGAACUGCUGAUGCCUGAUCUGCUAUACAACAACAACACUACUCUUUUGUAAAAGUUCCCAUGAACAUGAAGUUUUUGGUAAUAUUCCAGCAACAUACAUGAAUUCGCUAGUAUAUAUACUUUUGCUGCUGCUUCCUGCAACUGCAAUGCUCGUGUAAUCGUGUACCACUAACCAAUACCGCCGUGACAGAUCCAACUCCAAGAUCAGAAAUCGAGAUGAAUGGAGUCGCCGCGUGCUUCGUCGUCGUCUACGUGAGAAUGAUAGAUGGAGUCGUCGUGGGCUUUUGCUUCGCCGUCUACGUGAGAUAGAUGGAGUCGCCGUGUGCUCCAGACGACGCGUCCUGCGUCGCGAGAGGAGUGGCGGCGGCAGCGGCAGCGGCACUGCGGUGCGAACGGAUCUGCGAGCUGCUGGUGCCGUUCACCGUCAGCAUCGCGACUACUUCAGCCAUGGAUGGCCUGUCAGCUGGCGACUGCUGCACGCAGAGAAGGCCGACCUGCACGCACCUCUCCAGCCGAAGGAGGAUCUCUGGCCCCGGCUGGCCCACGGCUGGAUCCAGAAGGUUCUCCUUGAUCUUAUUCUGGCUCCAAGACUCCCGUGCCUACAGAAGAUGCAGCGAAAAUAGUGCGCUUCAAUUCAUGGACAAAAGGGGGUCACCUAGCUCUAGCUUCUUGCACAAACUCCCGGCCGGUGGAGUAUAGCUGUUUGCUCACAUCGGAAACGAGCGUCUGGUUGCUGCUGUUCCUUUGGCCACUGACGAUCUCGAUCAGGACGACUCCAAAGCUAUACACGUCGCACUUCAGCGUCAGGCUCGGCCCUCGCGCCGUGUACUCUGGAGCCCUGUAUCCCCUUUUGGCAGUAUAAUCAGUUCAGCAAGUUCUUAAUCUAACCCCCCAAAAAAAACACAGUUCAGAAAGUUGACGAGGAGGUCAGGGUUUCAGCCAUACUCUGUCUGUACCAGUGUCGGAUUCGUCUGGCCAUCGACGAACACUUUGGCGGUGCCAAAAUCUGCAAUUUUUGCUCUCCAGUUUCCGUCCAAGAGCACGUUGGACGGUUUCAGAUCCCUGUGUAUCACCACCUUGCUUAGUCCGUGCAGAUAAGCAACGCCUCUGGCGACUCCUACGAUGAUCUCCAGCCUCCGCUCCCAGUUCAACACAGCGCGUUGGUUGGCGUCUCUUGCUGUCAGUCACACAGAGAACAAGUGAGAGCUCUGAAGUAGCAGAAGAACAUAUAUUAUGGGAUCAUCUCAUCUGUACAGAUGUCAAUAAUCUGCGCGUUAUUAUUAUUAUUAUAAAUCUAAAGCAAGUACCGAAUAUGCAUAGGUUCAAGCUCCUGUUCUCCAUGUACUCGUAGACCAGUAUCCGCUCAUUUCCGUCCUUGCAGUAAGCAAGGAGACGAGCGAGGUUCUCGUGCUUGAGCUCUGACAUCACUUCCACUUCUCUCAUGAAAGUCUCACCACCUCCAUCGGUAAGGUAAGAUUGUGUGAGCCUCUUCACGGCAACCUUGGUACCAUCAGCUAAAUUGCCCUGGUAAUUGCACAGUUAUGUUAUUAGUUGCGCACGUCCAACGGUAAAUACACUACUUCCAGCGCAAAAGCAGGUAUGAUGUGAUUAUGAGAUACGCCUACAUUUAGUCAAAGAUGAAUUUUUUUUUGGAGUUCCGUCCUUCAAGAUGAAAGCUGAUGCUUUGAUUACUCAUCUUUGUUACGUGAGCAACGACCAUAUUAGUAUACCAACUAUCGGGAGUAUUCUACUUGUCAAGAUACAUAGCGAGAAGUUCAUUUAUUUUGAGAUAGACGAACUAUGCCAUCAUAGCGUUUGAUGAAAUAUACUAACACGAACCUCAAAUACGGUGCUGAAUCCUCCACGCCCAAUGACAUUGUCUGCAGAGAAAUCAUUUGUAGCCCUCCUCAAACUAGACAGGUCAACAGAAGGGACUGACGGAGGUCUGCGCAGUUCAGUAGAAGGGACACUCGGAGAGGCACUCUGAGCAGCUGGAAAACUCAGCACAGGCGUUAGCAUGCAUGGUGUGUUGCCCGCUGUUGGCAACCUGAAAUGCUCGAAGUGAAGUGGGGAAGAACAGAAAAUUGGGUCAGUAAUUUUACCUGGGAUUAUUGGUCGCCGGCGCCGCCUAAUCACAAGCACGACCGACAGAACAAUAAGAACCACGGCGACGGCAGCUGCGGAAGCACCAACAACUGGUGCGGUACGAAACGGCCGUUGCGGCGAGGGCCCCGCCGCCGCCGGCAGCUCGGACCUGGCCAGCCUCAGGUAGAGAUCUUGCCCUUUGUCCACGUAUCGGAGGUCGACGAUGUCAUCCGUCCACAUCACGCAGCCGCUACGGACGUCGCCGCCGCGGAUAUCUGCGGCGGCGUAGGCCAAGCACGAGCAGUUGGCGAGGCACCUCGCCGCGCAGUCCUCCACCGUGAUGCUCAUGUCCACCGUCGCGUUGUGUGUGUCCGGUAGCUUCACUCCGCGGACCAACAGGAAACCGUCUGUCGUCGUCGUCGUCCCACUCCCGUUAUUGGCACAGUCCAGCUUCACGUUCCGCUUGCAUCCGCCUGAGGUGUCCCUCAAGGACCACGCGGGCGGCGACGCCGGGCUGAACCCCGUGAGGCAGGUGCAGAACCACGUCGACGCCGCGCCGGCGUCGCACAGCCCGAACGCCCCGCACUUGCCGUAGGCGUCGCAGACGUCCCUGGGGCCCUGGAAGAAGGUCUGCCACGUCCGGGCGCCCGCGUCCCACACCAGGCGCUUGGCCACGCCGGCGUCGGUCAGCACGACACGGGUCAAUGCGGCACCGGGGUUGGAGGUGUAGCCGUAGGAUACCUCCGCUGGGCUUGUCGUCACCUGGUACCAGAUCAAGUUCCUGUACGCCGACACCUCCGGGACGCCGCUGAACCACCGGCCGUUCCACGGGCCGGUGCGGUAGGUCCUGACGUUGCCCUCCCACACCACAAGCUCGGGCAGCCCGCUGGUGUCCAGCGCGCGGCGGUAGGCCCCCGGCGACGGGUCGUCGGCCGAGCGCCACGACGUGAGGUACCACUCGGCGCCGGUCCACUUGUUCUUGCCCAGCUUCAUGCCGGACAGCAGGGUGUUCGACGGGUGAUCGAACGAUUGCCACAGGAUGGCGUCGCUGCUGCUGCUGCUGCCUCCGUCGCGGACGACGAGGUUGCCGGAGUUGAGGAGCUGCGCCUCCGCUGAUGACGAUGAGCUGGUGGAGUUCGACGACCAUAUGGUCUGGCCAGAGCCGUCUAGAAGCAGAAGGCUUCCCGUGUCUCUGACGACCAGCACGCCGGAGUUGCCAUUCACAGGGCGGCCACCGUUCGCCACCCAGCAGACGGCGACACUGGACGCCGAGAACCAGAUGCCGAGGUAUCUCUUGGUCGACGCCCCGGGAGAGAAGAAUCCCAAGGUGAACGUCCCGUCGGCUGAGACGAGCGUCUCGCCGUCGGUGAUGUUGCGGCCCUUGCCGAGCGUGUCGGACUCAGGUACGUCGGCGGCGAUGGCUAUGGGACGAAGUAUCAUAAACGAGAGGAGGAGAAGGUGGACGAAUAUUGUAUCCAUGAUGAUUGGGGAUUCUGGGUUUAGCCCUUGCACGCCUCCAGGCGCUGAUAAGAGAGGAGACUUCGAAGCAUCACCAUCUCGGAUAGAUUAAAGCCCCACCUAGCGGCCAAAUGUUUUUUCUUUCAUUUUUUUUUGUUAAUGUUUGUAAUUUCGUAUGAACAGAAAGUAACAUGCACUUCGCUCAAUUCGGAAGACAUCAGCUAGGUCAAAGUUUGACCUUGUCAAGUUUGAUUUCUAGCGUAUUGUGUAAGAGGAGAAGACCCUAGAUCUUUGGAUAUUACAAUUACAAUUCAUAAAUGCCACUUGCAUUUUCACUGCCGGACUACUUGCAGGUCUUUGUAGGCAACCUGUUUGUGUUAUAUUCUGCAUUUCUAUGCUACACGCCCGUUCAAAUAACAUAAACUAGAUCAGUGAUUGGGAAAAAUAGGAUGAAUGGAUGAAAGUCAACUUCCGUGGUUGGGCUUUCUUGCUUCUCAUAUUUAAUUUCAAGUUGUUUUUGGGAGACGUGGUGACAUAUCCCACGAAGAAGCUCACCAUCACCGAUGAUUGUUAAUAUAGUGAUGUCCUGAUUGUACGUCCCCCUAAUUAAACUCAUCGCUGAAUUUCGAAAACAUCUUCAAACAACAAACAUAACUCAUCCCUCAACUUUUAAAACCGGUAAGAUACCCCCUGUGACAAUUUUAGAAUGGUUUCUUGAGUAGUUUUCCUGGUGGGAUCCACUGGUUAGGGCCUGUUCGGUUAGCUCUCAAUCCAUGUGGAUUGAGUGGGAUUGGAUGAGUUUGAAUCCCAAAUAAGUCAAACUUCUUCUCAAUUUUUUCCAAUCCCAUCCAAUCCAUGUGUAUUGGGAAUAACCGAACAAGCCCUUAGGUGGUCUCUCUCUUACUUUUAAACUGAAAAGUCACUUUUUCAGUCGGACGAAUAAAAUAACUUGUAUAGCUUGACUUGAUCUAUACUAGUCCUGGACGAUGACAUAGUUUAUAUCAAAGUUAUAUACCUCAAUGAAAUCUAUAACCUUAUGGUUGAAAACCCUUUUAUUGAUAGGUCCAAAUAUUCACUACAUGUUCUCUACUUAUUAAUUUCACUUUUUUAAAUUUUUUAAAAUGGCCUCGAGUACAGAAACGCUUUAUGCCAAAUUUGUAGUGCUAAGAGAGAUACGACACUUUAUACUUGAAUUUUAUUUUAUUUGAAAUCAUUUAGGAGCUCAAAUAUUCAAUAAAAGAUUGCAUGACUUCAAAAGUUCAAAACAUGUGGAGCCCGCAAGCCACAUAAAUCCCUAAACAAUUAAAACAACCGUCAAAUCAAGUCUGAAUUAUUGUAGAAGUAAAUUGAAAUCUCUUUUUUUUUCCUCACCAAACAGAAGAGUGAUAUAUAGACUACAUCAUAAUAGUUAAACUACUCUAUAUUCUUCUCUCAGGAUCGCUUAGUCAACCUUAAGAACGAGGCUACAAAGAUACACAAGUCAAACUGCAUUCAAAUUUCCAAUCUGAUCGAGUAGUUUGGAGAAGACAUAUAAACUCAAGAAAACGACAUUGAAAUUUUGUAAAAUUCUUAUGUUCUGUUAUGUGCGACAUAUCCUCGUAUAGGGAAUAGGAGGCUAAAUCAUGAGUAAAGAUCUGAUUUAUAAGAAGCAGAUCUUCAUAUUGCACGAAGACAAGCUUUCAUGAUCUUUCUCGACUGAGAAUUCGAUUAAGUUUUUUAUAAAUAUAAUACUAUGGGGACAACCUUUUUAAACGAAAGAAUCCUUUUAAUAUUUUGUAAGGCCAUUUGAUAGUCUAAAUCUAAAUACCAAAAUAAUAAAUGUCAAUUGUUGGUGUAGAUAGAAGAAUUCGCCGAGGCUUGGCUUUCAUGAGAGAAGCGGAACUGAUGUUAGAACUAAGGCGCAUAUGGGAAUCUUAUUCGGCUCCUUGCUUAUCUCCAUCUCCACGGAGAAUUAGGCCUCUUUUAGAUCAAAGGAUAAUUUCCUAGAUCCUAUGUUUUUCGUUUUUUAACUAAUUAUUGUAAAUUUUAGAGAGUAACUAAAUCAAUAAAUCUGGCUAAUCUAUUGCUAAGUAAAUAAACGUUUGUUUCAGGUAUUACAAUGAAAGUUGGUUUGGUUGAGGGGUUUUAGUAGUGAUAGAGGCUGGUCAAGCACAUUUAUAUUAAGCACACGUACAGCCCACGAAACAGCCCCAAUCGGCCCAGUCCACGAAACAGCCCCAAUCGGCCCAGCCCACGAUGUAACCCUAGUCCCUAGAUGUUUAAGGAGCAGCUGUGUUGCCGCAUUCACAUACCUAUCCCUGUUGGUCGCCCCUCCUGGAGCUCGCCGCCGCCCUCUCGCUUUAUUUUCCCGACCACAACGCCACCGCCCGACGCAAAGUUGCCGCUCCCUGAGUCUCGACAACCGGUGAGCAGCCUCCUCCUCCACCAUCGGUCUCCUCCUCUGUCGAGCUCCUGUGUCGGGUACCUCCCUGACUUGCCUGAGUCGCCUCCACCAGUCCACCGGCGUUCGUGUCGCAGCGAGUCAGUCCACCGGUGUUCCCCAGGCAGCCGGCCAGCGGCGGACGCUUUCAGGCGUCGAGCUUCUGCUCCUUCGGCGUCCAGGCAUCGGGCGCGUCUGGUGGCGCAGCGGCGGGCGACCUCCUUCUCCAACGUCGAGCUCUUAGUUGUAGUCUAAGGGUUAGUUCGGGAAUCCCAUUUUUCCAAGGGAUUUUGAUUUUCCCAAGGAAAAUUAGUUCAUAUUCUCUUGAAAAAAUAGGAAUCCCAAGUUCCCAAACUAACCCUAAACGGGGAAUUCACGGGGUUCUCCGUUAGGGCCCAUAUACCCGAACGGGGACAGGGAACGGGGAAAAAACUUUCCCCACGACUGGGGACGGGGAACGGGGAAAAACCGGUGUCGCGGGGACGGGGACCGGGACGGGGCACUUCCCCGCCGGGGAAUGAACCCAUUACCAUCCCUUGCAUAUCUAUCUAGCACUAUUGUCACGUUCUUUUGUACUGAUGACAAGGUUAGGUUUAAAUGAUGCUAUCUGGAAAAACUUGAACUGUAUAUCCUAGUUCCUAAUUACCUAUCAUGAAUCACCAACAUUAUAUAAUUUUUUGUCAUUUGUGAACAAUCCAAUUUGAGGUGAACCCUGCAUUUGGAUCUGAUCUAAUUACAAGUGUAUACAUUUAUUAUACUAACCUCGACUGUUUGAAAAAAAUUGGGUACUACAAUUAGUGAGGAUGGAGAUGUAAGUUUGGGAGGCCAGAUAGUACCAAAGAAGGACACCUUCUGUUAUUUGGGAUCGAUACUUCGGAGAGAUGGUGAUAUUGAUGAAGAUGUUAGCCAUAGAAUCAAAUCGGGGUGGAUGAAAUGAUGUCAAGCAUCCAAAGUCCUAUGUGACAAGAGAGUGCCACAUAAGUUGAAAGACAAGUUCUACAUGACAGGGAUUAGGUCUGCUAUGUUAUAUGGGGCUGAAUGUUGGUCUACUAAGAGACGACAUAUCCAACAACUAAGUGUCGCAGAGAUGUGUAUGUUGCGUUGGAUAUGUGGGCACACAAGAUUGGAUAGAGUGAGAAACGAUGACAUAUGUGAUCGGAUAGGAGUAGCACUAAUUGAAGAAAAAGCUUAUUCAACACCGGUUGAGAUGGUUUGUGCAUGUCCACCGGAGACCCCGGAGACCCUAGAGGUACCGAUGCAUAGAGGCAUCAUAAGAUGAGACAGUAAUGUGAAGAGAGGUAGAGAUCGACCAAACUUGACAUGGGAGGAGGCAAUCAAAAAGGACUUGAAGGAAUGGAAUAUCCCAAUGGAGUUGUGUUUGGAUAGAAGUGCUUGGAAAUAAGCUAUCCACGUGCUUGAACCGUGAUCAUGCAUUUUUUUCUUUUAGUGCUCUCAAAAGCUUUUCCCUCUCCCUUCUCUCUCUUUCCCCUUUUGGUGACAUCUUGUUGGAUUUCAACUCUAGCCUACCUCAACUUGCUUGGGACUAAAAGACUAUGUUGUUGAUGUGUACCCCCAUGUCGUCCGCCCCUGCUAGCUGAACUCCAUCUUCUGUUUCAUAGUCACUCGUUUUGUAGAGUAUUUUUUUAAGAAUUGAUUCAUUGUGAUACUCUCUUCAAAUUUGUACUCAAAUUAUUUUACUCUUGUGUCAGUGAUGUCUGCAGUUUAAUGCAGUUUCCGCUCCUGUUUUUAUUGUUAAUUAUUGCUCAUUCUAGGUGUACUCUUUGCAGAGCAAGCCUUCUAGAAGUUAAGGAAGCAGCAGAACCAUGGCAUCCCGUUUCUGGGGACAGGUACUUGCUUUCUCUUGCGUAAUGGUACCAGCGUGCCAGUAUGUUUGUUAUGUGCAUACUGAAGUAAUUGAAGCAAUUGCUGUUGAUGCAAGAAUCUAACACUUGCCUGGUCCUUUGCAACUUCAGGGGGACAGUGAGUCUGAGGAGGAGGAGGUGGAAGAAGUUGAGUCAGAACAGGGCAGUGAUAGUGAUGAUGAUGGAGGUCGAGGUGGUGCGGGACGCGGUGCCCAAAACCGAUACUUGAAGAAUCAAGAAGAUGACAGCGAUGAGUCUGAUACAGGUCACCGUGUGAUCCGCUCCCUGAGGGACAAGCGCAACGAGGAGAUGAGAUCUAUUGUUGAUCAGAUGCGUAAUGCAAUGAAGAUCAAUGACUGGGUGAGCUUGCAGGAGAGUUUUGAGAAGCUUAACAAACAUCUUGAGAAGGUUGUUCGUGUCAAUGAAUCUACUGAGGUACCAAAAAUGUAUAUCAAAGCUCUUGUGUUGCUGGAGGACUUCCUUGCUGAAGCCCUUGCAAACAAGGAGGCCAAGAAGAAGAUGAGCAGCAGCAAUUCGAAGGCAUUCAAUGCGAUGAGGCAAAAACUCAAGAAGAACAACAAGCAGUAUGAAGAGCAGAUCCAGAAGUGCAGGGAGCAUCCAGAGAGUUUUGAAGAUGAAGCUGCAGAUGAUAAAGAUACGGAUGAUGACGAUGUUGAUGAAAGUGAUGCAGAGAUUGAAGAUCCUGAUAAAAUAGCUAUGUCAGAAUCAGAAGAGGAACAAGAUGAAGAGGAUGAUGACAAGGAUGGUUGGGAACAGAAAAGGAGUAAGAAGGAUAAGCUGAUGGAUAAGCAGUUCUUGAAAGAUCCAAGUGAAAUCACAUGGGAUAUUGUCGAUAAGAAACUCAAAGAGAUUGUAGCAUCUAGGGGAAAGAAAGGUACUGGAAGGAUCGAGCGUGUUGAGCAGUUAACAUUUUUGACCCGUGUGGCCAAAACACCAGCUCAGAAGCUUGAAAUCCUCUUCCAUGUGAUUUCUGCGCAGUUUGAUGUUAACCCUAGUCUACUUGGGCAUAUGCCAGUCAAUGUGUGGAAGAAGUGUGUCAAUAAUAUGCUUCUUGUGCUUGAUAUACUCCAGCAGUAUCCUAACAUUGUAGUAGACACCUCGUUUGAGCCUGAUGAGAAUGAAACUCAAAAGGGUGCAGACUACAAUGGAACAAUACAUGUUGUGGGUGACCUGGUUGCAUUCCUUGAGAGACUGGACUCUGAAUUUUUGAAGACCUUACAGUGCACAGAUCCGUACACAAAAGAUUAUGUUCAGAGGCUCAGAGAGGAACCCCUGUUUCUGGUUGUCGCACAGAACGUCCAAGAUUAUCUUGAAAGGGUUGGAAACUUCAAAGCUGCUGCCAAGGUUGCACUGCGCCGUGUUGAACUAGUUUACUACAAGCCCCAAGAAGUGUACGAUGCAAUGAGAAAACUCGCAGAGCAGCCUGAGGACUGUGUGGACGAUGAUGAUGCAGAGGCUGGUGAUGAACAUAAAGCAGUAGAUGACAAUAGAGGACCAUCACCAUUUGUUGUGAUUCCAGAGGCUGUGCACAGGAAGCCUACUUUUCCAGAGAGCGGUAGAACUUUGAUGGAUGGAUUGAUGUUCUUAAUCUACAAGUAUGGAGAUGAAAGGACCAAAGCCCGUGCAAUGCUGUGUGACAUAUAUCACCAUGCGAUCUCUGAUGAGUUUUCAGUGGCUCGCGACUUGCUUUUAAUGAGUCAUUUGCAAGAUGGUAUUCAGCUCAUGGACAUAUCAUCGCAGAUUUUAUUCAAUAGAGUCAUGGCCCAGUUAGGGCUGUGUGCUUUCAGGGCUGGUUUGAUAAAUGAAGCCCAUGGUUGCUUGACUGAGCUCUAUUCUACUGGGAGGGUGAAAGAAUUGCUUGCACAAGGUGUGCAACAAAGCCGAUACCAUGAAAAAACUCCCGAACAGGUAAAAUAAAACCCCUAUGCAAUUCAUCCUGUUUUUCUUGUAAAUGCUGUUUUCAUAGCCCUUAACCCUAAUCACACAAGCAAGACCCUUGUUUGAAAAUUUCAUGUGAAAUUGAUAAUAUUCACACAGUAAUAUCUCUUGCUUGCAUCUGUUAAUUAUUUAUGUUUCUGUUGCUUUUUGAAUAUGAUAUAUAACGCUUUAUCCUGUUGUAUGCAGUAAUUCUGACCCAAAUCACAAAUCUUGACUUUUUUGUAUAUUGAGCUGUAUUCAUUUUCGUUAUGCAGAUGUAGGUCUUUUGUGGUAUUUGUAGUUAAUCUUGUUUUUAUUAAUAGUAGAGCUCACCACAUAUAAAUUUAUAUUGUAAAAAAUGGACAGACCCAUUGCUGGCAUGAGUGGGGUCUGGGGAAGGAAUAACCGAGGCAAGCCUUACCCCUGCAUUUUGCUCAGAGGCUGCGUUGAAUACAGGGCCUUUGGCUCAGUGAAAAGUCUUCCCACCACUGCGCCAAGCCUGUCCUUAUAAUCAUCCAUGCUGUUCGCUGCAGCUAGUUUGCAGCAGCAGCUGCUGCUCGGCUGUUGUUCAUACAGCGGCAUGCCGUUCGCUUGAGCUUAAGCUAGAAAGUAGCAGCCAGCCGUGGUAAAGCCAGCCGAACAAGAUCUUUUCCUUAUAUUAAACUACUACAAUUGUAGUCUAUAAUUUAAAGAUUAUACAAUACAUAUAAUUUUAUAUAUUAUAUAUUCUUUUAAUUGUAGACUACAAUUAGGGUAGUUUUAUACAAGGAUCAAAAGAUGAUUCUUUUCCUUUUGGUUAUAUCAGUGCUAAUGCAGCCCUAUCACUGCAGGAAAGACUUGAGAGGAGAAGACAAAUGCCUUACCAUAUGCAUAUAAACCUGGAGCUUUUGGAAGCCACACACUUGAUCUGUGCGAUGCUGAUUGAAGUCCCCAAUAUGGCUGCCAGCACCUAUGACAAGCGGAGACCUAUGAGCAAAACAUUCCGAAGGCUUCUUGAAGUGAGUGAAAGGCAGACAUUUGUUGGGCCGCCCGAGAAUGUGAGGGACCAUGUAAUGGCUGCCACAAGAGCCCUCAACAAGGGUGAUCACCAAAAGGCUUUCAGUGUCAUAAAUUCGUUGGAGAUUUGGAAGCUUUUGAGGAACAGAGAGCAUGUCCUUGAGAUGUUGAAGCUUAAGAUCAAGGAGGAAGCUCUUAGAACCUAUCUCUUUUCAUACUCGUCUUCGUACGAGUCCUUAAGCCUUAACCAGCUCACUACCAUGUUUGAUCUCAGCGAGCAGCAUGCCCACAGCAUUGUUAGCAAGAUGAUGAUGCAUGAAGAGCUUCAUGCUAGCUGGGACCAGCCAACAAAGUGCAUCGUAUUCCAUAGUGUGGACCAAACUAGGCUUCAGGGGCUACUCUUCCAGAUGGCAGAUAAGCUCUCGGUCCUGGUGGAGAUCAAUGAGAGGGCAUACGAGGCAAGAACUGGUGGUGCUCUCGAGGGGGUACCGCCCAGGCGCAGGGGCGAGGGUCAGGAUAAUAUGGGAAAGUGGCAGGAUAACUUUGUCUCGUCACAGGGGCGGCAGGGUGGUGGCAACAGGUUUGGAUACUCCAGCAGAGGUGCAGUAUCUGGUCAAAGUGGUGGUGGACACCAGAGGGACAGGGGCAAUCAGGGUUACCGCGGGGGCUAUGGUGGCGUUUCAAGGUUUCAGGAUGCAAGGGGUCGCAACCAGUCUAAUCCAUCAGGCAGAGGUGGUGAUGGUGGUGCACGCAUGGUGAACCUGAACAGGGUUGGUAGAGUUUAGAAGUGAUAAUUUUCAGCUCAAGUAAUCCUGAAAUUCUCCUAAAAGCCAAGUUCUGAAUCACUGCAUUUUACAUAGUUUCCUGUUCUGGGCUGAGUCAUCUACCUGUUUCCUACAUUUCGUUGUAGCCUUUUAAAUUAAGGGGCUAAGAAAUUGAACUAAGAGUUUGGUACUGUUUUGUGGGAGUGUGACGAUGUAUUCGCUCCAAUAUUUGAUAUCUAUCCGUGACACUUGCUAUAAACUGUACUUUUCUUUGUGUUAUGUGGUGUUCAUUGGGUUAUGAAAAAGAAAAAGGCAUGUCGAAGAGAGAAGAUCGUUAUUCUAUUCGCGUUCGGUAAGGUAAGAUUGUGUGAGCCUAUCUCUUUUCCAUCGGCAAGGUAAGAUUGUGUGAGCCUCUCCCUGGUACCAUCAGCUAAAUUCCCCUGGUAAUUGCACAGCGCAAAGCAGGUGUGAUGUGACUGUGAGAUACGCCUACAUUUAGUCAAAGAUGAAAUUUAUUUCAGAGUUCAGUCCUUCAAGACGGAAGCUGCUGCUUUGAUUAUUUAUCUUUGUCACAUGAGCAAUGGUACUAGUAUACCAACUAUCGGAAAUAUUCUACUCGCUCCGGCCUAAAAUAAAUCUAGCUAGACUGGCACUUGUCUAGAUACGUAGCGAGAAGUUGAUUUAUUUUUAGAUGGAUGAAGUAUGUCAUCAUAGCGUUUGAUAAAAUACACUAACACGAACCUCAAAUACGGUGCUGAAUCCUCCACGGCCAAUGACAUUGUCUCUACAGAGAAAUCAUUUGUAGCCCUCAUCAAAGUAGACAGUUCAACAGAAGCAACUGAUGGAGGUCUGCGCAGUUCAGUAGAAGAGGCACUUGCCGUCUGUCAUCGUCGUCGUCGUCCCACUCCCGUUAUUGGCACUGUCCAGCUUCACGUUCCGCUUGCAUCCGCCUGAGGCAGGUGCAGAAGGACGUCGACGCCGCGCCGGCGUCGCAGACGUCCCUGGGGCCCUGGAAGAAGGUCUGCCACGUCCGGGCGCCCGCGUCCCACACCAGGCGCUUGGCCACGCCGGCGUCGAUCAGCAUGACAUGAGUCAAUGCGGCGCCGGGGUUGGAGGUGUAGCCGUACGUAGGAGGAUACCUCCGCUGGACGAGUCAAAGAAGCGCUCGCUCGACAGCUCGUCGUCAUCAGCCAGAGCCAGCGCCUUGGGUCGUCAACGCCCCGCUGCUGAAUUGGUCCGUCCCCGUGCUGCGUAGCAAAAGAGGCGACGACGCUGACGGCUGACGCCGUCGCCAUGGUCCGCACCGCACCUGCCUUGCUGCCCGACGCAGGGCGUCAGUUAUUUAGAACCGUCGCUGUUGCCGUGACCUGUCCUGCUUCAGAAUCACUCAAGCUUGGACGAAUCGUCGGAGCAAGGGAACUGAUCUGACGAGCUAGCGAGCCCGGCAAGGUCAAAGUUUAAUUAAAGUGCUUGUCCUUGCCGUUCCACGUUGUUCUCUAGAGACUGGCUAGAGUGACGCAGUGGCUGCAAAUGGGCCGGUUGCGCAUGUCUUGCCGAUCGAUCAGACACACACACAAAAUGACACAAAAGUCAGCAGCCCCCGCCAACCACCGGGAAAGGAAGACGUCACUGCAAAAUCCUACGAUCGUAUCGUAUUGGUUUUUUAUCGAUUCUAGCAGAUUUUUACCCGGCCUGUUGCACCGUCAUGAGGUAAUAAAGUAUACGUCGUCCUCGUCUUGCAUGUUCACCAGGACUUUGUAGCCGCCCAGGCCACUGGGCCAGCAUCAGUUCAGACGGAGAGUACAGAACAAUGGAGAAGAGAAGACCCAACGCAUUCAGUGAAGAUGCAGCUAACACAGGCUGUUUUUUUUUUUGACUGUCGGGAAGAG